UACGUAGGGGGCAAGCGUUGUCCGGAAUUAUUGGGCGUAAAGGGCUCGUAGGCGGUUUGUCGCGUCGGGAGUGAAAACCCAGGGCUUAACCCUGGGCUGGCUUCCGAUACGGGCAGACUAGAGGUAUGCAGGGGAGAACGGAAUUCCUGGUGUAGCGGUGAAAUGCGCAGAUAUCAGGAGGAAUACCGAUGGCGAAGGCAGGUCUCUGGGCUGACACUGACGCUCAUGCACGAAAGCGUGGGGAGCAAACAGG
rnacentral:rRNA from 1 species